UACAUGUGGGGGCAAGCGUUGUUCGGAAUUACUGGGCAUAAAGGGUGCGUAGGCGGUUUUGUUAGGUCACUGGUGAAAGUUUUUCGGCCCAACCGGAAAAUUGCCUGUGAUACCGGCGAACUUGAGUGCGUGAGGGGUGGGGGGAACGAGCAGUGUAGCGGUGAAAUGCGUAGAUAUUGCUCGGAAGGCGGAGCCGAAGGGGCCCCACUGGUACGUACUGACGCUGAGCACGAAAGCGUGGGGAGCAAAGCA
rnacentral:rRNA from 1 species